AUGAAGCCAGGGGAUGGGUGUGUGGGGGGUUAUGAUACUAUUCUCUUUACCAUGGUGAAUAGUGAGCAUAAAAGUACACGUCGCUGGGUGCAGUGGCCCACACCUGUAAUCCCAGCACUUUGGAAGGCCGAGGCAGGCUUUUUAGUAGAGAUAGGAUUUCACCAUGUUGGCCAGGCUGGUCUUGAACUCCUGACCUCAGGUGAUCCGUCUGCCUCAGCCUCCCGAAGUGCUAGGAUUACAGGCGUGAGCCACCGCGUCCAGUCUUCGAACUAUUGUUCUUAAAAAAAAAAAAAAAAAUAGAUUUUAUCUUGACCAAAGAGUUUGGGACUAAAUAUUUUCCCCACUAGAAAAAUUUUGAAGUACUUAUGUGGGAAAGGGAACAACGCAGGAAAUGUUGCUGAGCAAAUCUCUUUACCCCCUGUUUUCAGACUGCAGUUUCACGGGGAUUCCUAAGCCUAGGUGCUAACAUGUGUGCCUAGAAAAACAGAGGUGGCAUGGAUGUUAGAAGGCUGUGUGCAAGUGGAUGGCAUCCAAUCCAUAGAGUGCUUAGAGAACAGUGGAGAAAAGAUGAAGCGAUAAAGAGAUUGUGAAGCCAGAUAUCCUAAGGCUGCUGAGGGAAGCUCAAGGGGGAUUGGGAGUUGGAGACUGCGUGCCUCACGUGGCUGAGCUGCAAGAAUAGCUCACUCCUUUCUUGAUGACAGUUACUCCAAGUCAGAUAAUAUUUUGCCUGGCCUCCACUCAGUAAAUUGAAAAUGUGCAGCCAUUUGAAACUACACCAUGACAGUGGCUCAUGCCUAUAAUCCUACCACUUUGGGAGACUGAGGUGGGCAGAUGGCUUGAGCCCAGGAGUUUGAGACUAGACUGGGUUACAAGGUGAAAACUCAUCUCCACAAAAAAAAAAUACAAAAGUUAUCUGGAUGUGGUGGUUCAUACCUAUACUUCCAGCUACUUGGAAGGCUGAGGUGGGAGGCUCAUCUGAGCCCAGGAGAUUGAGGCUACGGUGAGCUGAGAUUGCUCCACUGUACUCCAGCCUGGGCUACAACGUGAGACUCUGUCUCAAAAAACAAAACAAAACAAAAAAACAAAAACAAAACAAAACAAAACAAAACUACACCAUGGGCCAGGCAUGGUGUCUCACACCUGUAAUCUUAGCACUUUGAGAGGCCAAGGCAGGAGGAUUGCUUUACACCAGGAGUUUGAGACCUGCCUGGGCAGCAUAGUGAGACCCCCAUAGCUAAAAGUAAUCAUAAUAAUGAUAAUAAUAAAAGGUUAAACGACUCUAGGUGCAGAUUUUGGGGGCACAAGGAUUUGCCGUGCACAAGCUGGGACAUAGCUGCCUGUCCUGAAAACAGAGGUGUCGUGUCCACUUUCCCACCAUACGCUGUGGCCAUCCUUUUGACAGUCCACUCCAUUGAUGGAACAGAUAAAUCAGAAGUCCUGCUGGAAGGAAACCAAUUGUUCAACUCUUGAAUUCUUUUGCAAAAGAAUUCAAGUCAUUUAAGGUUAGCCUUAAAAUAGAACACCCCAGUAACGUGAUCAACAUGGAACAAAAGCUCCGGGAGAGACAGGAGGUCAGAGAGAAAAUGAUACCUCUGGCCGGCAACCCCGCAGAGACUUCCAGGAAUAAGCAGGUAGCAGCCUCAGAAAUGCCACUGAUAUCUGAUGUGUCCGCAGUUUCCAAAGACCCUGGAUGUUCCUUGAUUCUCUACUACUUUUUUGUGUCACUAAACACUGACUCAUACAUAACACAAGUUUCUGAACAGAAAUUAAUAUGAUCUCAUUAAUUAGAUAGAGGAGAUGAGUUGCAAUGUAAACUGAGUGAAGAAUUAGUAUCUAGACAAAAGAAGGGAGUGUGAGCUCACCAAGGGUACC
ensembl:lncRNA